rnacentral:rRNA from 1 species
CUUUUUUGGGGUGACGGUACUUGCAGAAGAAGCGCCGGCUAACUACGUGCCAGCAGCCGCGGUAAUACGUAGGGCGCAAGCGUUAUCCGGAAUUAUUGGGCGUAAAGAGCUCGUAGGCGGUUUGUCGCGUCUGCCGUGAAAGUCCGAGGCUCAACCUCGGAUCUGCGGUGGGUACGGGCAGACUAGAGUGAUGUAGGGGAGACUGGAAUUCCUGGUGUAGCGGUGAAAUGCGCAGAUAUCAGGAGGAACACCGAUGGCGAAGGCAGGUCUCUGGGCAUUUACUGACGCUGAGGAGCGAAAGCAUGGGGAGCGAACAGGAUUAGAUACCCUGGUAGUCCAUGCCGUAAACGUUGGGCACUAGGUGUGGGGGACAUUCCACGUUUUCCGCGCCGUAGCUAACGCAUUAAGUGCCCCGCCUGGGGAGUACGGCCGCAAGGCUAAAACUCAAAGGAAUUGACGGGGGCCCGCACAAGCGGCGGAGCAUGCGGAUUAAUUCGAUGCAACGCGAAGAACCUUACCAAGGCUUGACAUGUUCCAGACCGGGCCAGAGAUGGUCUUUCCCCUUUUGGGGCUGGUUCACAGGUGGUGCAUGGUUGUCGUCAGCUCGUGUCGUGAGAUGUUGGGUUAAGUCCCGCAACGAGCGCAACCCUCGUUCCAUGUUGCCAGCGGGUUAUGCCGGGGACUCAUGGGAGACUGCCGGGGUCAACUCGGAGGAAGGUGGGGAUGACGUCAAAUCAUCAUGCCCCUUAUGUCUUGGGCUUCACGCAUGCUACAAUGGCCGGUACAAUGGGUUGCGAUACUGUGAGGUGGAGCUAAUCCCUAAAAGCCGGUCUCAGUUCGGAUUGGGGUCUGCAACUCGACCCCAUGAAGUCGGAGUCGCUAGUAAUCGCAGAUCAGCAACGCUGCGGUGAAUACGUUCCCGGGCCUUGUACACACCGCCCGUCAAGUCACGAAAGUUGGUAACACCCGAAGCCGAUGGCCUAACCACCUUGUGUGGGGGGAGUCGUCGAAGGUGGGACUGGCGAUUGGGACUAAGUCGUAACA